rnacentral:lncRNA from 2 species
UCACCAUCGGAGGACACCGUGAAGGAUAUACCGCAUCUACCCACCGUCAGCAAGUUGAGGUUAGAUUGGGAAGUAUGUUCGGAUGCUCAAUGUAACUGCAGUCAGCCAAAGGGUUGGGAGGACCAGAAGAUACAACUAGAUAACCUAAAGAGGGUAGAGUUCAAGGGAUUUAUACCGUUCGAUGACCGCAAAAGCCUCUUGCGACUAUUGCUGAAGAACGCGCCAGCUCUUGAGAAGAUAACCGUGAAGUUUGACCCCUCUUACAUAUUUGAAACCCCAAAAGAAACCAGGAAUAAGAUAGAUUUUGGCAUGCCUGGUUAUCAAGGGUCUUGGACCCCAUGUGCUUGGAUGUUCCGUGAGAGUGGCAUUUUCGAUGGCGCCACGAAAUAUGAGUGGACACGAGAGAAGCCAACAGAUGAGGGAAUAUGA